UGCAAAUGAGCAGCCCCCCAAUCUGGCGAGAGCUGUCACAAAGGAGCCACUUUUCCAAACCCUCCUCUCAAUGGAUCGCCAAAUGAAGGACAGCCAUGGAUCCACCAUCAACAUUUGUUUUCCAAGUGUGAUAUUUUCUUUUAGGAAAAUGAGAACCGGGCCUGGGAGCAUGCCCAUCACCCAGAGCUCUCAGAAUAAAUGCUAGCCAGGAAGAACGUGGUGAUGACUUCAUGAUCCCAACUGUGACCUGCGCCAGUGUGCACUGGGACUGUUCCUGUCCUCAGUGAUACGUUAAGACUAGGAACAUCAUUGUUCUCCAGUUAUGAAGGUCCUCAUGGCCACUCAUCGCCUGUUAGCUGGUGAUCCCUCAUUCUUCAGCGAUGGACGGAGUCCCUUGACCGCUCACCAGGUCAAUGGGAAAUCAGAGUGACUCAGAGGCAGGGAUGGGGCCAGGCAUGGCAGGAAGUGGAAGACUCUUCAUUUCCCGAGUCUCAAGGCUUAGAGUCCGUCUGAAACUAGACAUACUGUCUGCUUCUCUAAUAGCUAUAAAAUGAGUUCCAAAAGGCUGUGUGUGUGUGUGUGUGUGUGUGUGUAUGUGCUCGUGUGUGCGUGUUUCUAUUUCCUGAAAGGGUUUGUGCAAAAUUAUCAUGCUUCCUCAAAAGCAUGGCAGAAUUUGCCAGUGAAGCCAUCAAUGUUCAGUAUUGUUUUCCUCAGAAACGCUUUGCUCCGUUUCUUUAAUACACAUAGGGAUACUCAGCUCUAUUUUUAAUUUGGUCAGUUAUAUGGCUCAAGAAAUUUUGUCUAAAAUUGUUCAAAGAGCUGGGGCUGGAGAGAGAACUGUUAAAAGCACUUGCUCUUUCAGUGGACUGGCAUAAGAUUCCUAGUAUUCACUUGGCAGCUCACAAUUGCCCUUAAGUCCAGAUUCAAGGAACCUGACUCCCUCUUCUGGCCUCUGCAGGUACCAGUCACACACAUGAGGCAUACGCAUACAUGCAAGCAAAACAUUCACGCACACACAUGCACACACGCACAAAUCUUUUAAGUUGUUACAUAUUCUUUAUUCUCUUUACUACGAUAAUGUCUGUGGUAAUACUGUGACAUUGUUAGAAGGGUUCAUCUAUGUCUCUCUUUUUAUCUCGGAGAACCAAUCUUUUGUCACUAAUUUUUUCUCUGUGGAUCUAGGCAGCUAUUGGGACAGCCAUUAGUCUUAGUUUAUUCGUUUUUUGAUGUCUGAAUAUGGUAAUUUCAAAUUUUGUCAAGCUUUGUGGCAGUUUAAAGUGGGAGGAAAAGUUCUCUUGGAAUUAUGUCUUCAUAGGCGGAAGCUGAAACAGAUACUUUUGAUGCAAGUAACAGAAAACCCUGGUUCCAUACUUAGUGUAUGAAGAGACUUUGUUUUAUUCUACUAGGAGGGAGGGGAGGUCUAAGUGUGGAUAAAUUAAUGGUUCAGCUUGUUACCCAACCAAGGCUUCCAUCUGCCCUGUGUUGAUGAGCUCCUACAUCCUGGGGAAUCUCUCACACAGCAUGGUCUAUCAGAAAGGAAGGGUGUUGUCUCCCUAGAUGAUACCUUUUACCAACUAUAAAACAUUCAAAUAACAAUGUUUCUCUAUAUAGCCCUGCCUGUUCUGGAACUUGCCCUGCAGAUCAGACUGGCCUUGAACUCAGAGAUCCACCUGUCCCCACCACCUGAGUACCAGGAUUAAAGGCAUUCAUCACCAGGCCCAACUGUGUAUAAUAAUUUUUGUAAGCUUUAGACAAGUUGGAGUUUGAGUAAGAGUGUACUACCUACUACUAUUACUGCUGCUUAUUCAAUCACUUUAAAAUGAUCAAAUGCUUUUCUUUUACCACAUUAAUCGAUUAAACAUUCAAGUAGUUCUUGAUUGGUAACAAAAGUAGCCCUUUGUCCACACCAUACUGCUCUGCUCCCAACACCCCCUCUCUUUUCUUUCUUUUGUUUUAAAAAAUUUAUUAAUUCACUUUUCAUCCCAAUUGCUGCUCCCAUCCUAGUUUCUCCAUCCCAUUCCUCCAUCCUCUCUCCCCUUCUCUGAGAGACUGGAGGGGCCCCUAGAUAUCCCCCUCCCGACCCUGUUAUAUCACUCCCUGCAAGGCUAGGUGCAUCCUUUUCCCCUGAGGCCAGAGAAGCAGCCCAACUAGAAGAACAUACAUGGUCCAGCCCAUGUAUGCUCUUGGUUGGUGCUUCAGUCUCUGAGAGCCUCAAGGGCUCAGGUUAGUUAAAUCUGUUGGUCUUCCUGUGGAGUUCCUAUCCCCUUUGGGUCCCACAGUCCUUCCCCCCAACUCUUUCAUAAGGGUCCCCAAGCUCCAUCCAAAGUUUGGCUGUCCAACUGCUCCUCUUACUCUAAUCUCACAUCUACCAUUAGAAUUUACUGUCAUAUUAUAUAUACAGGAUUGUGUGGUUGUGUAUCCUUUCCUAUUAAAUUACAAUUUAGUAUUUACCUUAUAACCAUGUAAUUAGGGCUGGAGAGAUGGCUUAAUGGGUAAGAGCACUGACUGCUCUUCCAAAGGUCCUGAGUUCAAAUCGCAGCAACCACAUGGUGGCUCACAACCACCCAUAAUGAGAUCUGACACCCUCUUCUGAUGCGUCUGAAGACAGCUACAGUGUACUUUUAUAUAAUAAUAAAUAAAUCUUUGGGCCAGAGCCAGCAGAGACUGAGCAAACGGGGCUGGCCAGAGUGAGCAGAGGUCCUAAGAUUCAAUUCCCACAACCACAUGAAGGCUCACAACCAUCUGUACAGCUACAGUGUACUCACAUACAUAAAAUAAAUAAAUAAAUAAAUCUUUUUAAAAACCAUGUAAUUAGAAUGUAUGUGUAAGCAUGGUUAUAAGGGGUUUUUAUUGUUUGUCUUUAUUGUUCAAUGCAUAUCUGGUUUAUUUGCUUAUUGAUUGCCAUUUGUAGCUAUUACUACCAAAAUCUGAAGAUCCCCUUUAGUGUUCUAAUGUAUUGUGCAUUCUGAGGACUCCAUUAAAUGUUCCUUUGUCUGGUUCAUUUUGUUUUCA